rnacentral:piRNA from 1 species
UAUGAUUGAACGUGCUUUUGGGUCUC